rnacentral:rRNA from 1 species
AUUGAACGCUGGCGGCAGGCCUAACACAUGCAAGUCGAGCGGAUGAAGGGAGCUUGCUCCUGGAUUCAGCGGCGGACGGGUGAGUAAUGCCUAGGAAUCUGCCUGGUAGUGGGGGAUAACGUCCGGAAACGGGCGCUAAUACCGCAUACGUCCUGAGGGAGAAAGUGGGGGAUCUUCGGACCUCACGCUAUCAGAUGAGCCUAGGUCGGAUUAGCUGGUUGGUGGGGUAAAGGCCUACCAAGGCGACGAUCCGUAACUGGUCUGAGAGGAUGAUCAGUCACACUGGAAGUGGGGCACGGUCCAGACUCCUAAGGGAGGGAGGCGUGGGGAAUAUUGGGAAAUGGGGGAAAGGCUGGUCCAGGCAUGCCGGGUGUGGGAAGAAGGUCUUCGGAUUGUAAAGCACUUUAAGUUGGGAGGAAGGGCAGUAAGUUAAUACCUUGCUGUUUUGACGUUACCAACAGAAUAAGCACCGGCUAACUUCGUG